rnacentral:rRNA from 1 species
UGGGGAAUAUUGGACAAUGGGCGCAAGCCUGAUCCAGCCAUGCCGCGUGAGUGAUGAAGGCCUUAGGGUUGUAAAGCUCUUUCGCCGGUGAGGAUAAUGACGGUAACCGGAGAAGAAGCCCCGGCUAACUUCGUGCCAGCAGCCGCGGUAAUACGAAGGGGGCUAGCGUUGCUCGGAAUCACUGGGCGUAAAGCGCACGUAGGCGGAUCGUUAAGUCAGGGGUGAAAUCCUGGAGCUCAACUCCAGAACUGCCCUUGAUACUGGCGAUCUCGAGUUCGAGAGAGGUUGGUGGAACUCCGAGUGUAGAGGUGAAAUUCGUAGAUAUUCGGAAGAACACCAGUGGCGAAGGCGGCCAAACUGGCUCGAUACUGACGCUGAGGUGCGAAAGCGUGGGGAGCAAAACAGGAUUAGAUACCCUGGUAGUCCACGCCGUAAAACGAUGGAUGCUAGCCGUUGGGGGGUUUACCUCUCAGUGGCGCAGCUAACGCCUUAAGCAUCCCGCCUGGGGAGUACGGUCGCAAGAUUAAAAACUUAAAAUGAAUUGAC